UACGGGGGGGGCAAGCGUUGUUCGGAAUUACUGGGCGUAAAGCGUGCGUAGGUGGUUCGUUAAGUCUGAUGUGAAAGCCCUGGGCUCAACCUGGGAAUGGCAUUGGAAACUGGCGACCUAGAGUGCGGUAGAGGGCAGUGGAAUUCCCGGUGUAGCAGUGAAAUGCGUAGAGAUCGGGAGGAACAUCUGUGGCGAAGGCGACUGCCUGGACCAGCACUGACACUGAGGCACGAAAGCGUGGGGAGCAAACAGG
rnacentral:rRNA from 1 species